UACGUAGGGUGCAAGCGUUGUCCGGAAUUUAUUGGGCGUAAAGAGCUCGUAGGCGGUUCGUCACGUCGGCUGUGAAAUCCCGAGGCUCAACCUCGGGUCUGCAGUCGAUACGGGCGGACUGGAGUACUGCAGGGGAGACUGGAAUUCCAGGUGUAGCGGUGAAAUGCGUAGAUAUCUGGAGGAAUACCGGUGGCGAAGGCGGCAUCCUGGACCGGCAUUGACGCUGAGGAGCGAAAGCUAGGGGAGCAAACGGGG
rnacentral:rRNA from 1 species